ACGUAUGUCUUUCGGAAUGCGGAAGAGUGGCAGAACGGGUAGAGCGACACACAGUCCAAUGAAUCUGCCCCAUCGGUCGGAGGACAACUCUUGUGAUACAGCGAUGAUGCUAAUCACCGCUGAUCACCGCUAGUGUGAUGCUGACGAAGAAGUAUUCGGCCGAAGGUGCAUUGAUCUGUGCGUCUAGCAUUGAUGCUACGUUGGUGUGGUAAUUUGGCGAUACACAAAGGCGACGAUCAGAUAGCUGGUCGUGAUGAGUGAAUGGACAGGCCAGCAGUUCGGAACCUGAAGACAACUGGAUCCAAAACUCCAUACGGGAGGCAAGCAGUGGGGAAUUUUCCCGCAAUUGGACGCAAGUCUGACGGAGCGACGCUGCGUGAAGGAUGACGGCCCGCCGGGUUGUAAACUUCUUUUCUCGAAGAAGAAACAAAUGACGGUAAUUCGAGGAAUAAGCAUCGGCUAACUCCGUUGCCAGCAGCCGCGGUAAGACGGAGGAUGCAAGUGUUAUUCGGAAAUGAUUGGGCGUAACAGAGUCUGUAGGCCGUAUAGAACAGUCUUCUUGUUAAAUGCCUCGGUCAACCGAGAUCCAGCAAAGGAAACUUCUAUACUUGAGGGAAGUAGAGGUACAGGAAUUCCCGGUGGAGCGGUGACACUGCGUAC
rnacentral:rRNA from 1 species